rnacentral:rRNA from 1 species
UGGGGAAUAUUGCACAAUGGGCGCAAGCCUGAUGCAGCCAUGCCGCGUGUAUGAAGAAGGCCUUCGGGUUGUAAAGUACUUUCAGUCGGGAGGAAGGUGGUAAGGUUAAUAACCUUAUCAAUUGACGUUACCGACAGAAGAAGCACCGGCUAACUCCGUGCCAGCAGCCGCGGUAAUACGGAGGGUGCAAGCGUUAAUCGGAAUUACUGGGCGUAAAGCGCACGCAGGCGGUUGAUUGAGUCAGAUGUGAAAUCCCCGGGCUUAACCCGGGAAUGGCAUCUGAUACUGGUCAGCUAGAGUCUUGUAGAGGGGGGUAGAAUUCCAUGUGUAGCGGUGAAAUGCGUAGAGAUGUGGAGGAAUACCGGUGGCGAAGGCGGCCCCCUGGACAAAGACUGACGCUCAGGUGCGAAAGCGUGGGGAGCAAACAGG